rnacentral:rRNA from 1 species
GUGUCAGCCGCCGCGGUACUACGUAGGUGGCAAGCGUUAUCCGGAUUUACUGGGCGUAAAGAGUGCGUAGGCGGUUCUUCAAGUCGGAUGUGAAAUCUCCCGGCUUAACCGGGAGGGGUCAUUCGAAACUGUUGGACUAGAGGACAGCAGGGGGAGGUGGAAUUCCCGGUGUAGUGGUGAAAUGCGUAGAUAUCGGGAGGAACACCAGUGGCGAAGGCGGCCUCCUGGGCUGUUUCUGACGCUGAGGCUCGAAAGUGUGGGGAGCGAACAGGAUUAGAUACCCUGGUAGUCCACACUGUAAACAACGGACACUAGGUAUGGGGAGUAUCGACCCUUUCUGUGCCGAAGCUAACGCUUUAAGUGUCCCGCCUGGGGACUACGGCCGCAAGGCUAAAACUUAAAUGAAUUGGCGGGG